rnacentral:tRNA from 1 species
GCCAUGGCUCAGCGGUAGAGCAUCUGCUUGGCAUGAAGAUGGUCCCAGGUUCAAAUCCCAGCGUCUGCA